AUGUAAGCAUGAACAGUUCAAACACUAACCACAGUUUUUUCGUGUCCAAGAAAAAAAAACAGGAGUAAAAGGACAUCUUUAUUAGUACACUCUUCUUACACACACAUCAUGUAUCAAUGUCGCAUAUGUAUAUGUUUCACACUUUCCCAAACAUCAUGAGCACACAAGUAUUAUGCCCCAGACCAUGAGAGCCAAAGGGUAUGAAUGACACAAGGGAAGGGAUUUCUAUCAGAUAAGAAAUUGGGUGAAAAAAUUAAACACGUAUGUGCAUUGAGUUUAAACUGAAGCAGACUAAUAACAUUAAGAGAGUAAGAAACCAAGAAGAAGCAGGGCCAGUCCGCAUCAAUGCAACCUACCAGAUGAAUGAGAAGCAAUUGGGUGAAGAAAUUAAACAUGUAUGGGCAUUGAGUUUAAACUGAAGCAGACUCAUAACAUUGAGAGAGUAAGAAACCAAACAGUAGGGCCAGUUCUCAUCAAUGAGAUGAGAAGGUUUUUCUUUUAAAAGCGUCCCAGAAAAACAAAUAAGGGAGACAUAUAAAGUGAUGAGCCUCAUCAAUUAAGGCUAUAGAUACCAAGUCGAGAAAAACUCGGUAAGAAUAGUGACUCUGAAAAAAAAGAAGAAGAAUGAGAAAAAUACUAGAAGUAAACAUAAGGUACAUUUCACAGAGCUCUCUUGUAGUUGAGAAAAUUGAAAGACCACCGUUGAAUGUCAGAUAUGACACGAUAACCUUAUGGACAAGUAUCUUGACAAUUAAACCAAGUCAUGAGAUGCAUCAAAGGGGACGUUGAAGCCACUUGCACAUUUUUCUACUUGUGAUUUUUUUGGAGCUAGAGAGGAGAUCCAUGCAAUUUCUUUGAACUGAAGGGAGAUUCAUAAAACUUACCCCAGACCAUUAGUAAGUUAAAACCUACAGUACUUGUCAUGAGAUCUAUGCACUGUAUCAUGGGAGCUCACAGUCACAGGAUAGUAAAGAUAUCUUAUAGAAACCAGCUAUACUUGAAGUCCAACAUUCUUCUCGGGUUUUCCUAUAAUUUUGCUGUAGUUUUAAACAAAAACAAAAACAUCUUCAUGUACUAGUUGCCAGAAGAUCAAUAUUAACUCAACUAAGUCUCAAUUCCAAUCUAUUAGGGUCCCUACAUGGAUCUGUCUCCUCCAUUCAUCGCUGUUAUGGAGUCAGUAAUCAUGGACUUACUUUUUACAAGUUAUUGAGACCCCAGAACAUCUUAUAUCAAUUCAGCCCAUUCCCCACAUGCACAGUGGCAAAAAAUUGAUGUGAAAUAAGAAAAUACAGUUUCCUUUUCAAUAUGCAAUGAAAUUACAGGAAUAUGAAAAGAUGAUAAAAAAAA